GAUGAACGCUGGCGGCGUGCUUAACACAUGCAAGUCGAACGGAAAGGCCCAAGCUUGCUUGGGUACUCGAGUGGCGAACGGGUGAGUAACACGUGGGUGAUCUGCCCUGCACUUCGGGAUAAGCCUGGGAAACUGGGUCUAAUACCGGAUAGGACGAUGGUUUGGAUGCCAUUGUGGAAAGUUUUUUCGGUGUGGGAUGAGCUCGCGGCCUAUCAGCUUGUUGGUGGGGUAAUGGCCUACCAAGGCGUCGACGGGUAGCCGGCCUGAGAGGGUGUACGGCCACAUUGGGACUGAGAUACGGCCCAGACUCCUACGGGAGGCAGCAGUGGGGAAUAUUGAACAAUGGGCGCAAGCCUGAUGCAGCGACGCCGCGUGGGGGAUGACGGCCUUCGGGUUGUAAACUCCUUUCGCUAGGGACGAAGCGUUUUUGUGACGGUACCUGGAGAAGAAGCACCGGCUAACUACGUG
rnacentral:rRNA from 1 species